GCGCCGGUGGUGUACUGGCGUAGAGCAUUUCCGCUCGGUUAGAGGGAGGUGCGGGUUCGAGUCCCGCCUGGCGCU
rfam:Heligmosomoides polygyrus genome assembly, scaffold: HPBE_contig0003600